UACGUAGGGGGCAAGCGUUGUCCGGAUUUAUUGGGCGUAAAGAGCGUGUAGGCGGCUAGGUAGGUCCGUUGUGAAAACUCGAGGCUCAACCUCGAGCUGUCGAUGGAAACCAUUUGGCUAGAGUCCGGAAGAGGAGAGUGGAAUUCCCGGUGUAGCGGUGAAAUGCGCAGAUAUCGGGAGGAACACCGGUGGCGAAGGCGGCUACCUGGCCCACUCUUGACGCUGAGGCGCGAAAGCUAGGGGAGCAAACGGG
rnacentral:rRNA from 1 species